rnacentral:rRNA from 1 species
GACGAACGCUGGCGGCGUGCCUAAUACAUGCAAGUCGAACGCUUCUUUCCUCCCGAGUGCUUGCACUCAAUUGGAAAGAGGAGUGGCGGACGGGUGAGUAACACGUGGGUAACCUACCCAUCAGAGGGGGAUAACACUUGGAAACAGGUGCUAAUACCGCAUAACAGUUUAUGCCGCAUGGCAUAAGAGUGAAAGGCGCUUUCGGGUGUCGUUGAUGGAUGGACCCGCGGUGCAUUAGCUAGUUGGUGAGGUAACGGCUCACCAAGGCCACGAUGCAUAGCCGACCUGAGAGGGUGAUCGGCCACACUGGGACUGAGACACGGCCCAGACUCCUACGGGAGGCAGCAGUAGGGAAUCUUCGGCAAAGGACGAAAGUCUGACCGAGCAACGCCGCGUGAGUGAAGAAGGUUUUCGGAUCGUAAAACUCUGUUGUUAGAGAGGAACAAGGACGUUAGUAACUGAACGUCCCCUGACGGUAUCUAACCAGAAAGCCACGGCUAACUACGUG